AAUGAACGUUGGCGGCGUGGAUUAGGCAUGCAAGUCGUGCGAUAACCCCGCAAGGGGGGAAAGCGGCGAAAGGGGGAGUAACGCGUGGGUACCUGCCCCUUGGACCGGAAUAGCUGCGGGAAACUGCAGGCAAUGCCGGAUAAUAUCCUCGGAUCAAAGGUGUGAUUCCGCCGAGGGAGGGGCCCGGGUUCUAUUAGCUAGUUGGUAGGGUAAUGGCCUACCAAGGCGACGAUGGAUACCGGGGGUGAGAGCAUGACCCGGCUCACUGGGACUGAGACACUGCCCAGACACCUACGGGUGGCUGCAGUCGAGAAUCUUCGGCAAUGGGCGCAAGCCUGACCGAGCGACGCCGCGUGCGGGAUGAAGGCCUUCGGGUUGUAAACCGCUGUCGUAGAGGAGGAAAUGCCAUGGGGUUCUCUCCAUGGUUUGACCUAUUCUAGGAGGAAGGACGGGCUAAGUUCGUGCCAGCCGCCGCGGUAA
rnacentral:rRNA from 1 species